GUGGAUUAGUGGCGAACGGGUGAGUAACACGUGGGCAAUCUGCCCUGCACUCUGGGACAAGCCCUGGAAACGGGGUCUAAUACCGGAUAACACUUUCCUCUGCAUGGAGGAAGGUUAAAAGCUCCGGCGGUGCAGGAUGAGCCCGCGGCCUAUCAGCUUGUUGGUGGGGUAAUGGCCUACCAAGGCGACGACGGGUAGCCGGCCUGAGAGGGCGACCGGCCACACUGGGACUGAGACACGGCCCAGACUCCUACGGGAGGCAGCAGUGGGGAAUAUUGCACAAUGGGCGAAAGCCUGAUGCAGCGACGCCGCGUGAGGGAUGACGGCCUUCGGGUUGUAAACCUCUUUCAGCAGGGAAGAAGCGAAAGUGACGGUACCUGCAGAAGAAGCGCCGGCUAACUACGUGCCAGCAGCCGCGGUAAUACGUAGGGCGCAAGCGUUGUCCGGAAUUAUUGGGCGUAAAGAGCUCGUAGGCGGCUUGUCACGUCGGAUGUGAAAGCUCGGGGCUUAACCCCGAGUCUGCAUUCGAUACGGGCUAGCUAGAGUGUGGUAGGGGAGAUCGGAAUUCCUGGUGUAGCGGUGAAAUGCGCAGAUAUCAGGAGGAACACCGGUGGCGAAGGCGGAUCUCUGGGCCAUUACUGACGCUGAGGAGCGAAAGCGUG
rnacentral:rRNA from 1 species